rnacentral:rRNA from 1 species
UGGGGAAUCUUGCACAAUGGGGGAAACCCUGAUGCAGCGACGCCGCGUGAACGAUGAAGCCCUUCGGGGUGUAAAGUUCUUUCGACGGGAACGAUAAUGACGGUACCCGGAGAAGAAGCUGCGGCUAACUACGUGCCAGCAGCCGCGGUAAUACGUAGGCAGCAAGCGUUGUUCGGAGUUACUGGGCGUAAAGAGUGCGUAGGCGGUUAACUAAGUUUGGUGUGAAAUCUCCCGGCUUAACUGGGAGGGUGCGCCGAAAACUGGCUAGCUCGAGUAUGGGAGAGGAAAGCGGAAUUCCUGGUGUAGCGGUGAAAUGCGUAGAUAUCAGGAGGAACACCUGUGGUGUAGACAGCUUUCUGGACCAUAACUGACGCUGAGGCACGAAAGCGUGGGGAGCAAACAGGAUUAGAUACCCCGGUAGUCC